AUUGAACGCUGGCGGCAGGCUUAACACAUGCAAGUCGAGCGGAGAUGAGGUGCUUGCACCUUAUCUUAGCGGCGGACGGGUGAGUAAUGCUUAGGAAUCUGCCUAUUAGUGGGGGACAACAUUCCGAAAGGAAUGCUAAUACCGCAUACGUCCUACGGGAGAAAGCAGGGGAUCUUCGGACCUUGCGCUAAUAGAUGAGCCUAAGUCGGAUUAGCUAGUUGGUGGGGUAAAGGCCUACCAAGGCGACGAUCUGUAGCGGGUCUGAGAGGAUGAUCCGCCACACUGGGACUGAGACACGGCCCAGACUCCUACGGGAGGUAGCAGUGGGGAAUAUUGGACAAUGGGGGGAACCCUGAUCCAGCCAUGCCGCGUGUGUGAAGAAGGCCUUAUGGUUGUAAAGCACUUUAAGCGAGGAGGAGGCUACUGAGACUAAUACUCUUGGAUGGUGGACGUUACUCGCAGAAUAAGCACCGGCUAACUCUGUGCCAGCAGCCGCCGUAACAC
rnacentral:rRNA from 1 species